UACAGAGGGUGCGAGCGUUAAUCGGAUUUACUGGGCGUAAAGCGUGAGUAGGUGGCUCGCUAAGUCGAUUGUGAAAGCCCUGGGCUCAACCUGGGAAUUGCAGUCGAUACUGGAGAGCUAGAGUUCGGUAGAGGGUGACGGAAUUCCCGGUGUAGCGGUGAAAUGCGUAGAUAUCGGGAGGAACAUCGAUGGCGAAGGCAAUCACCUGGGCCUGAACUGACACUGAGACACGAAAGCGUGGGUAGCAAACAGG
rnacentral:rRNA from 1 species